AAUUGAAGAGUUUGAUCAUGGCUCAGAUUGAACGCUGGCGGCAGGCCUAACACAUGCAAGUCGAGCGGAAACGGCAGCAUUGAAGCUUCGGUGGAUUUGCUGGACGUCGAGCGGCGGACGGGUGAGUAACGGCUGGGAACCUGCCCUGACGMGGGGGAUAACCGUUGGAAACGACGGCUAAUACCGCAUAAUGUCUUAGUUCAUUACGAGCUGGGACCAAAGGUGGCCUCUACAUGUAAGCUAUCGCGUUGGGAUGGGCCCAGUUAGGAUUAGCUAGUUGGUAAGGUAAUGGCUUACCAAGGCGACGAUCCUUAGCUGGUUUGAGAGGAUGAUCAGCCACACUGGGACUGAGACACGGCCCAGACUCCUACGGGAGGCAGCAGUGGGGAAUAUUGCACAAUGGGGGAGACCUUAAUARGUGCAUGGCUUGACGUUAGCUGCAGAAGAAGCACCGGCUAACUCCGUGCCAGCAGCCGCGGUAAUACGGAGGGUGCGAGCGUUAAUCGGAAUUACUGGGCGUAAAGCGCAUGCAGGCGGUUUGUUAAGUCAGAUGUGAAAGCCCGGGGCUCAACCUCGGAACCGCAUUUGAAACUGGCAGGCUAGAGUCUUGUAGAGGGGGGUAGAAUUUCAGGUGUAGCGGUGAAAUGCGUAGAGAUCUGAAGGAAUACCAGUGGCGAAGGCGGCCCCCUGGACAAAGACUGACGCUCAGAUGCGAAAGCGUGGGUAGCAAACAGGAUUAGAUACCCUGGUAGUCCACGCCGUAAACGCUGUCUACUUGGAGGUUGAGGUUUAGACUUUGGCUUUCGGCGCUAACGCAUUAAGUAGACCGCCUGGGGAGUACGGCCGCAAGGUUAAAACUCAAAUGAAUUGACGGGGGCCCGCACAAGCGGUGGAGCAUGUGGUUUAAUUCGAUGCAACGCGAAGAACCUUACCUACUCUUGACAUCCAGCGAAKCCUUUAGAGAUAGAGGMGUGCCYUCGGGAGCGCUGAGACAGGUGCUGCAUGGCUGUCGUCAGCUCGUGUUGUGAAAUGUUGGGUUAAGUCCCGCAACGAGCGCAACCCUUAUCCUUGUUUGCCAGCACRUAAUGGUGGGAACUCCAGGGAGACUGCCGGUGAUAAACCGGAGGAAGGUGGGGACGACGUCAAGUCAUCAUGGCCCUUACGAGUAGGGCUACACACGUGCUACAAUGGCAGAUACAGAGGGCAGCGAAGCUGCGAAGUGGAGCGAAUCCCUUAAAGUYUGUCGUAGUCCGGAUUGGAGUCUGCAACUCGACUCCAUGAAGUCGGAAUCGCUAGUAAUCGUGGAUCAGAAUGCCACGGUGAAUACGUUCCCGGGCCUUGUACACACCGCCCGUCACACCAUGGGAGUGGGCUGCACCAGAAGUAGAUAGCUUAACCUUCGGGAGGGCGUUUACCACGGUGUGGUUCAUGACUGGGGUGAAGUCGUAACAAGGUAGCCCUAGGGGAACCUGGGGCUGGAUCACCUCCUUA
rnacentral:rRNA from 1 species